rnacentral:rRNA from 1 species
UCCUCCUACGGGGGGCAGCAGUGAGGAAUAUUGGUCAAUGGGCGAGAGCCUGAACCAGCCAAGUCGCGUGAGGGAGUACUGCCCUAUGGGUUGUAAACCUCUUUUGUCGGGGAGCAAAAGCCGGACGUGUCCGGCUGUGAGAGUACCCGAAGAAAAAGCAUCGGCUAACUCCGUGCCAGCAGCCGCGGUAAUACGGAGGAUGCGAGCGUUAUCCGGAUUUAUUGGGUUUAAAGGGUGCGCAGGCGGAUUUUUAAGUCAGCUGUGAAAGUCCGCGGCUCAACCGUGGAAUUGCAGUUGAAACUGGG